UAACGCGAAGAACCUUACCAGGACUUGACAUCCCUGUGACCGGUCCAUAAUGGGACCUUUCCCUUCGGGGACAGAGGAGACAGGUGGUGCAUGGUUGUCGUCAGCUCGUGUCGUGAGAUGUUGGGUUAAGUCCCGUAACGAGCGCAACCCCUAUCCCUAGUUGCUAGCAGUUCGGCUGAGAACUCUAGGGAGACUGCCGGUGACAAACCGGAGGAAGGUGGGGAUGACGUCAGGUCAUCAUGGCCCUUACGGCCAGGGCUACACACGUGCUACAAUGGCGCGCACAGAGGGCUGCAAACUCGCGAGGGUAAGCCAAUCUCUUAAAACGCGUCGUAGUCCGGAUCGCAGUCUGCAACUCGACUGCGUGAAGUCGGAAUCGCUAGUAAUCGCGAAUCAGAAUGUCGCG
rnacentral:rRNA from 1 species